AAUAAUAGCGACCACGGUACAACCUCCAGUACUUCAGAGAGUAUCAAAAGAUGUGCCCAGUCAGAUCCAGAAUCCUUGAAGGAACCAUCCAUCCAUAAUAAGAGGAUCUUGUCAUCCGAACCUGAGGAAGAUCGCGGUUUUCUUGAAUUACAGGGAUUACCACUUAACCUUAAAUCAUUAGAAGACAACAAAAGUUACAAAACUAUACAAAUAGGGAAAAAUGAAAAGCAAGAGAGUACUAGAAGUAAAGGAUACGACCAGAGUACAAAUAGGAAAGAGAUUAAUCCAAGAGAAAGGGCAACCCCUCCGUUAGACUUGCAUUCCUUAGAAAACGACGAUAAUACAAGCGCAAGUAAUCUAGGCGGUCAACAGAAGUUCACCCCCUUAAACCUGGACUCCUUAAACGAAUCAUCCAAUAUCCGGCUGCGCACUAUCCAGUGUGAAAGGAUACCAAUUUCCGACCCUGAAGAUUUUGAUAUCGAUC